rnacentral:rRNA from 1 species
CUCGUAGGCGGUUCGUCGCGUCCGGUGUGAAAGUCCAUCGCUUAAACGGUGGAUCUGCGCCGGGUACGGGCGGGCUGGAGUGCGGUAGGGGAGACUGGAAUUCCCGGUGUAACGGUGGAAUGUGUAGAUAUCGGGAAGAACACCAAUGGCGAAGGCAGGUCUCUGGGCCGUUACUGACGCUGAGGAGCGAAAGCGUGGGGAGCGAACA